CCUUCCAGUUGCUGGGGAAAACACAGGUCUUCAUCUCCCUACUGGCUGGUUCUAGAUGCCCUGCCGGGCCUCCCUGUAGUAUUGACCUUGGAUUGUUGUGUGACUUUCUCCCUGUGUCAUGUUUGGCCCUGGACCGAUACUCUGCACUUGCCCUUUGAUGACUUGGACUCUGCUGCAUCUGCAACCCUGCGCUCCUUGUACCCACAUGAACCAUCCAUGUCAAGUGAGACCUCCAGCGUGCUGCAACUCUUGACAAUAUCAUCAGUGUUCACCUUCCCAGGUGCCUGUGCUUCAGUGGGCUUUUUUCAGAUCAGAAAGCAUGGACUGCAAAGGAGCCUGCCCAGCGCUGGGGAAAUGUUAACUGGGGGAAAAAACUACAUAAACCACUCUUGGCCACCACGCAAUGAUAAGGAUGGUCGCCAACUUGGACGGCUUUGAAAGAGGAUGAGACAAAUUCAAGGAGGACAAAGGCUAGUAGCCCUGAUGGCUGUGCUCUGCCUUCACUGUUGAGGCAAGAUGCUUCUGGAUGCCAGUUGUUGGAAACCGCAGGAGGGGAGAGUGCUUCUCCUGCACUCGGGUCCUGCUUGCAGGCUUCCCAUUGGGGCAUCCAGUCGCCGACUGUGAGGACAGGAUGCCAGACUAGAUGGGCUGCUGGCCUGAUCCAGCACAGCUGUUCUGAUGUUGCAACCUGGGACCUUCUGCAUGACGGACAGAUGCUCUACCACUGAGCUAUGGGCCCUUUA